rnacentral:rRNA from 1 species
GACGAACCGUGCGAACGUUAUUCGGAAUCACUGGGCUUAAAGCGCGUGUAGGCGGGCCGCCGCGUCGGCUGCUGAAAUCCCCCGGCUCAACCGGGGAACGGGCACCGAUACGGGCGGCCUCGAGGGGGGUAGGGGGGCCUGGAACGUUCCGGUGGGAGCGGUGAAAUGCGUUGAGAUCGGAAGGAACGCCCGUGGCGAAAGCGAGGCCCUGGACCCUUACUGACGCUGAGACGCGAAAGCCAGGGAGCGAACGGG